rfam:Octopus bimaculoides Scaffold29840_contig_94, whole genome shotgun sequence.
GCAGCUUCGGUUAUGCUUGUACUAAAUUUCCAGCGAUAUAGAGAAGAUUAGCAUGGCCCCUGUACAAGGAUGACACGCAAGUUCGUGAAGCUUUCUAUAUUUCU